rnacentral:rRNA from 1 species
UACGUAGGGUGCAAGCGUUGUCCGGAAUUAUUGGGCGUAAAGAGCUUGUAGGCGGUUUGUCGCGUCUGCUGUGAAAUUUCGGGGCUCAACCCCGAACUUGCAGUGGGUACGGGCAGACUAGAGUGUGGUAGGGGAGACUGGAAUUCCUGGUGUAGCGGUGGAAUGCGCAGAUAUCAGGAGGAACACCGAUGGCGAAGGCAGGUCUCUGGGCCAUUACUGACACUGAGAAGCGAAAGCAUGGGGGAGCGAACAGG